rnacentral:rRNA from 1 species
AGGGUGCAUGGUGGAUGUUUCGACGUUAAGAAGCGAUGAAGGACGUGGCAGGCUGCGAUAAGCCUCGGUGAGGUGUCAACGACCUUUGACCCGGGGAUUUCCGAAUGGGGCAACCUACCAGGAUGGAGACUUGGUAUUUACAUCUGAAUUCAUAGGAUGUAGAGGCGAACGGAGAGAAUUGAAACAUCUUAGUAUCUCCAGGAAAGGAAAGAAACUCGAUUCCCUGAGUAGCGGCGAGCGAAAGGGGACCAGCCUAAACCGAAUACAUGUAAGCCUACAUGCGUUGUGUAUUCGGGGUCGUGGGAGUUACCGUUCUGGUGUGUAGAUCAGAAGAGAAGUUACAAAAGCCAACCUAGCCGAACUCUACUGGAAAGGGAACCAUAGAGAGUGAUAGUCUCGUAGGCGAAAGGGGAAGCUCUUCUCGGUAACCACCCGAGUAACACUGGACACGUGAAACCCGGUGUGAAUUUGGGAGGACCACCUCCUAAGGCUAAGUAUUCCUUAACGAUCAAUAGUGAACCAAGUAGGGUGACUGAAAAAUGAAAAGUACCCCUUUUAGGGGAGUGAAAUAGUACCUGAAACCAUGUACUUACAAGCUGUAGGAGCACUAUGACGUAUGCUUUAUCUGGAAUGUAGGAAGUUUACUUUUGAAUUUCUGGGACGGAUGUUUAGGUACGCCUGAGCUAUCCGGAGCGCGUAAAGUGUAACUGCGUGCCUUUUGCAUAAUGAUCCGGCGAGUUACCAUAUGCAGCAAGGUUAAGUAUCUUAGAUACGGAGCCAUAGCGAAAGCGAGUGUGAAAUGCGCGUUAAGUUGUAUAUGGUAGACCCGAAAGCCAGUGAUCUAACCAUGGCCAGGGUGAAGCGAGUGUAAUAGCUCGUGGAGGCCCGAAUGCACUAACGUUGAAAAGUUAGGCAAUGAGCUGUGGUUAGGAGUAAAAGUCUAAUCAAACUGGCAAAUAUCUGGUUCUCCCCGAAAUAGCUUUAGGGCUAGCCUCCUGUUAUAGCGGACGGGGGUAGAGAUACUGACUGAGUUUGGGGGCCCACCAGGCUACCCUACUCAACCAAACUCCGAAUACCGUCUUGCCUUAUCGGGGGAGUUAGACUGUGGGGGAUAAGCUCCAUAGUCAAGAGGGAAACAGCCCAGACCGCCGGCUAAGGUCCCAGAGUUUAGCUAAGUGACAAAGGAAGUGAGGAUGCAUUGACAGCCAGGAUGUUGGCUUAGAAGCAGCCAUCAUUUAAAAAGUGCGUAAUAGCUUACUGGUCGAGCAUUCUUGCGCCGAAAAUUCAUGGGACUAAGCUAAACACCGAAGCCGCGGAUUUUAUAUCUUUCGAGAUAUAGAGUGGUAGGGGAGCGUUCUACACGGACUGAAGGGUGACUGUAAAGACGCCUGGACUGUGUAGAAGUGAGUAUGCCGGAACGAGUAGCGAUAAAAUGAGUGAGAAUCUCAUUCGCCGUAAGCCUAAGGUUUCCUGGGGAAGGUAAAUCCGCCCAGGGUUAGUCGGUCCCUAAGGCGAGGCCGAAAGGCGUAGCCGAUGGAUAACAGGUUAAUAUUCCUGUACCACUGUUUGUCCGAUGGGUUUCGACCCGAGAGUAACGGAGGGACGAAGAAAGCUAGGCCAUCCCCGUGAUCGGUCGAGCGGGGCCAAGCUUGUAGAGGGGGAUUCUAGGUAAAUCCGGAAUCCUGUUAACCUUGAGGAGUUAUGGGGGUCCAUUGUAACGGACGCAAGUGGUUGAAGCUAUGCUUCCUAGAAAAGCUAUCGUUUUACGAUGGAUAUUUAGUGACCGUACUAAAACUGACACAGGUAGGCGAGGAGAGAAUCCUAAGGCGCUCGAGAGAACCCUCGUUAAGGAACUCGGCAAAAUUGUCCCGUAACUUCGGAAUAAGGGACGCCCCAUUAGUGUGAAGCCCUUGCGGGUGUAGCAUGAGGGGGCCGCAGCGAAAUGAGCCAAGCGACUGUUUACCAAAAACACAGGACUCUGCAAAAUCGAAAGAUAACGUAUAGGGUCUGACACCUGCCCGGUGCCGGAAGGUUAAGAGGAGGGGUUAGUUCGUUUUUAAUGGACGAAGCUCUGAAUUGAAGCCCCGGUAAACGGCGGCCGUAACUAUGACGGUCCUAAGGUAGCGAAAUUCCUUGUCGGGUAAGUUCCGACCUGCACGAAUGGUGUAACGACUUGGCUACUGUCUCAACGAGAGACUCGGUGAAAUUGUAAUGUUCGUGAAGAUGCGGACUACCUGCAGAUGGACGGAAAGACCCCGUGCACCUUUACUGCAGCCUGACACUGUAGUUUGUUACAAUAUGUGUAGGAUAGGUGGGAGACUUUGAAGCCGGGACGCCAGUCUUGGUGGAGUUACCCUUGAAAUACCACCCUUAUUGUAUUGAACUACUAACCGAAUCCUGUUGAUCCAGGUUCGGAACAAUGUCUGGUGGGCGGUUUGACUGGGGCGGUCGCCUCCUAAAGAGUAACGGAGGCGCGCUAAGGUUCCCUCAGGCCGCAUGGAAACCGGCCGUAGAGUGUAAACGCAUAAGGGAGCUUGACUGUGAGGCGUACAUGCCGAGCAGGUGCGAAAGCAGGCGUUAGUGAUCCGGUGGUUCCGAGUGGAAGGGCCAUCGCUCAACGGAUAAAAGGUAC